GGGCCCAGCCGCGGCAGGGAGGCAGCAGCAGCGAGGAGGCAGCAGCGGGCCGGCCGCCAGGAACUCCAACUUUUCUCCCUCCAGAAUUCUGUCCAGAGUCUCCAGUUCCUCAGGUGUCCAACAGGGGGCUACAGUUCCUUCAUAAAAUUAUCCCCCACCAGCAACACAAACACUUAUUUGCUUAAAGUAUAAAGGGUGAAAACACUCUGUAACCAGUGCAACCAAAAGGCUAACAAAUUCAAGAAGUACAGUUUGUGAUAAAGUAAACACAAUGACCGUACACAGCAGCAGUAGCUGGAACUAGCGCAGGCUUCCUUGCUUUGAUGUGUCAAUUUAACAUCUGUAAUAGAAGAGAAAACCUUGAUUUUGUUGGAGCUAGGACCCUCGCAGCAUCAGCUUUCAACUGCAAUGUCUCAUAGUGAUGACAGUGGGGUUAGAGUCAUGGAUAAUCGUGCUGGACUCCUCCCCUCCUUGUUCUUCCAGUGUUAAUCUCCAUGUUGUCUAUCCAAAGAUGGCGGUUUGUUUUGGUAUCUCUCUUCAGCCAAGAACUACAGCUGAAAUUAUGCUGCAGGCUUUUUCACAUUUGUUUGUAACCUUUUCUUUAAAUAAACCCUUGUAGUUCUUCAAUACUAAAUAACUGUCCCAAGACCACUUGCUUUGUUGCUUUACCAAACUGGUUUUGCUUUGCUAGUUGGGGACUGAAUUGCCACUCUUCCCCUUUAGGUUUCAGCUGAGUUCUAACUGAAUGCAAUCACGUGUAUUUGCACAAUUUAUGUUUAAAAUGUAUACCCCAUUUUUCCAUUAAAAAUACUCAGAGUGGC